GACGUCACAGAUACAGUAGUAGAGGUGAAGACGUCACAGAUACAGUAGUAGAGGUGAAGACGUCACAGAUACAGUAGUAGAGGUGAAGACGUCACAGAUACAGUAGUAGAGGUGAAGACGUCACAGAUACAGUAGUAGAGGUGAAGACGUCAGUUACAGUAGUAGAGGUGAAGACGUCAGUUACAGUAGUAGAGGUGAAGACGUCAGUUACAGUAGUAGAGGUGAAGACGUCAGUUACAGUAGUAGAGGUGAAGACGUCAGUUACAGUAGUAGAGGUGAAGACGUCAGUUACAGUAGUAGAGGUGAAGACGUCAGUUACAGUAGUAGAGGUGAAGACGUCAGUUACAGUAGUAGAGUGAAGACGUCAGUUACAGUAGUAGAUGAAGACGUCAGUUACAGUAGUAGAUGAAGACGUCAGUUACAGUAGUAGAGGUGAAGACGUCAGUUACAGUAGUAGAGGUGAAGACGUCAGUUACAGUAGUAGAGAUGAAGACGUCAGUUACAGUAGUAGAUGAAGACGUCAGUUACAGUAGUAGAUGAAGACUAUACUACUACUAUGCAUCUUGCUCAUAAACGUGUUGUUGACAGGGAAGGAUGUUGCGUGAGAUCAACAUUAAGAUAAUGACAACCAAUGAGAGAUCGUCUCAAAGGAGGACAGCGUGGAGAGGACAGUGACGACAGAGUGAUUGACAGACUGACUCAUCCAAACUGGAGGGGAAACAAGAGACUGUUCUCUAGUGCUGCUUGUGAGAGAUUCACAGAGGUCAAACCAGGACAGGUCCAAAUGAAAUAAUGAAUGAAAGGCCUGUUAUUGUUGUUGAACCAGACUAGGUGACUUCUGCCCCCGACACCAGGUUCUAUUACUGCUAUGACAGAGUCUCUAUGUUACUGAAACACUGCUACCAUGGAAAUUGGUGUCAAAACAACACUGUUAGAACGUUAAAACAACAUUGUUGCAACAUAAGACAAUAUUAGACAGGGGUGCAGCUGCCCUGAAACUGACACAGGGUCAGGGAAGAGGAAGGAUGUAACAACUGAGCUUAGCUUUUGCGUAACGGCACAGUAGGUGUCACAACAAUGUUGUGAGAAUGUUAGACAUGGUUCCUGCU